UAAGCCAUGCAUGUCUCCGAAUAGAAGAAGCAAUUCUCUCUGAAUCUGCGAACGGCUCCGCAAACCAGUUGUAAACCAUAGCAAGCAUACCCCGGUGGCUGGCCGCAAGGUCGGUACCGGGGUCAUAAGGAUAACCGUGGUAAUUCUGAGGCUAAUACAAGAACGUAUCACCUGGUCGACCGGGCAACUGGAAGGCUGGGGGACGUGCGACUAAGGCGCAAUAUUGGGCUAGGAAUGGGUGCACGUUCAGACCACCGCAAAAAACAGUCUUGGUUUCCAGAACCGCUCUCGGGCGGGGACGGUGCCUUGUCUGGGUGGCUCUUGUGUUGUGCUUCUGACCUAUCAACUAGAUGGCAGCGUAAAGGACAUGCUAUGGUGACAACGGGUACAGAGGAUAAGGGUUCGAUCCUGGAGAGUGGGCCUGAGAGAUUGCUCACACUUCUAAGGAAGGCAGCAGGCGCGCAACGUUCCCAAUGGGCAAUGCCCGAGGGCGUUAGGAGACAUAUGAAUGCCUGCCACAUGGUGGGCAAUUCAAAUGGGUUCGUUGUAAACAGCCCU
rnacentral:rRNA from 1 species